AGUGAACGCUGGCGGUAGGCCUAACACAUGCAAGUCGAACGGCAGCACAGGAGAGCUUGCUCUCUGGGUGGCGAGUGGCGGACGGGUGAGGAAUACAUCGGAAUCUACUCUGUCGUGGGGGAUAACGUAGAGAAACUUACGCUAAUACCGCAUACGACCUACGGGUGAAAGCAGGGGAUCUUCGGACCUUGCGCGAUUGAAUGAGCGGAUGUCGGAUUAGCUAGUUGGCGGGGUAAAGGCCCACCAAGGCGACGAUCCGUAGCUGGUCUGAGAGGAUGAUCAGCCACACUGGAACUGAGACACGGUCCAGACUCCUACGGGAGGCAGCAGUGGGGAAUAUUGGACAAUGGGCGCAAGCCUGAUCCAGCCAUACCGCGUGGGUGAAGAAGGCCUUCGGGUUGUAAAGCCCUUUUGUUGGGAAAGAAAUCCAGCUGGCUAAUACCCGGUUGGGAUGACGGUACCCAAAGAAUAAGCACCGGCUAACUUCGUGCCAGCAGCCGCCGCGG
rnacentral:rRNA from 1 species